GAUGAACGCUAGCGGCAGGCUUAAUACAUGCAAGUCGUGGGGCAGCAUGAGUAGCAAUACUUGAUGGCGACCGGCAAACGGGUGCGGAACACGUACACAACCUUCCUUCAAGCGGGGAAUAGCCCAGAGAAAUUUGGAUUAAUACCCCAUAACAUAUAAUGUAGGCAUCUAUAAUAUAUUAAAGCUUUGGCACUUGAUGAUGGGUGUGCGUUUGAUUAGAUAGUUGGUGAGGUAAUGGCUCACCAAGUCAACGAUCAGUAGCUGAUGUGAGAGCAUGAUCAGCCACACGGGCACUGAGACCCGGCCCCGACUCCUACGGGAGGCAGCAGUGGGGAAUUUUGGACAAUGGGGGCAACCCUGAUCCAGCCAUGCCGCGUGUUUGAAGAAGGCCUUCGGGUUGUAAAGGACUUUUGUCAGGGAGCAAAACCUAAUGGUUAAUACCUGUUAGGGAUGAGAGUACCUGGAGAAUAAGCACCGGCUAACUACGUG
rnacentral:rRNA from 1 species